rnacentral:rRNA from 1 species
UCCCGUACUUCUUACAAUUGCGAUGGGGGGACGGAGAAGGCUAGGUGGGCCUGGCGACGGUUGUCCAGGUUCAAGUGCGUAGGCUUAAGAGUUAGGUAAAUCCGGCUCUUUUUAAGGCUGAGACACGACGUCGAGCACCUACGGGUGUGAAGUCAUUGAUGCCAUGCUUCCAGGAAAAGCCUCUAAGCUUCAGAUUGUAAGGAAUCGUACCCCAAACCGACACAGGUGGUCGGGUAGAGAAUACCAAGGCGCUUGAGAGAACUCGGGUGAAGGAACUAGGCAAAAUGGUACCGUAACUUCGGGAGAAGGUACGCUCUUGAUGGUGAAGUCCCUCGCGGAUGGAGCUGACGAGAGUCGCAGAUACCAGGUGGCUGCAACUGUUUAUUAAAAACACAGCACUGUGCAAAAUCGUAAGAUGACGUAUACGGUGUGACGCCUGCCCGGUGCCGGAAGGUUAAUU